GACGAACGCUGGCGGCGUGCUUAACACAUGCAAGCCGAACGGUAAGGCCCUUCGGGGUACACGAGUGGCGAACGGGUGAGUAACACGUGGGUGAUCUGCCCUGCACUUCGGGAUAAGCCUGGGAAACUGGGUCUAAUACCGGAUAGGACCACUGCCUGCAUGGGUGGUGGUGGAAAGCUUUUGCGGUGUGGGAUGGGCCCGCGGCCUAUCAGCUUGUUGGUGGGGUGAUGGCCUACCAAGGCGACGACGGGUAGCCGGCCUGAGAGGGUGACCGGCCACACUGGGACUGGGAUGCGGCCCAGAGUCCUACGGGAGGCAGCAGUGGGGAAUAUUGCACAAUGGGCGCAAGCCUGAUGCAGCGACGCCGCGUGAGGGAUGACGGCCUUCGGGUUGUAAACCUCUUUCAGCACCGACGAAGCGCAAGUGACGGUAGGUGCAGAAGAAGGACCGGCCAACUACGUGCCAGCCGCCGCCGUAA
rnacentral:rRNA from 1 species